AUAGCUGCUCAUUAUCAUACACCUAUAAUUUCCUUUUCAAAUUUCCUCUCUCCUCUCUUCCCUGCACGCUGUUGAGUAACUCAUCCCUUUCAUAGAUAUAGUUGUUAUCUACAUAAACAACAAACACUCUUUGGAGUAUCCUAUUGCAGGCCAAGCUAUAAUUCUAGGAGAUGAUGAACAAGCUUGAAACAGAGAACACAAUUAAGACAAAUAGCUUUCGAGGACACAUCUUAGACAAACAGCUUGCGAGGAAUGACAUAUUUUGCAAGUCACGAUUAACAACCAUUUUGUUUCCAUUAGCAAUGCUUAGUUAAAAGCACAACGACCAUUUGAAGGGACGAUGUCUUCCACAUCCAUGUUUAACACUUUUCAUGAUCACAAGUAGUAGCCAAGUACGUAAUUUCUUUUUCACAGUUCAUUCUCUUGUAUUUUUUUUCUUAAUUUUUACUAGAUAACUUUGCUCACUUGUGGUCUUUAUUUAAUUUUUUCUCCUUCAUAUAGCUAAAUUGCUAAGUAGACAACCUCCAAUUCUUCUUGAUUGGAGUCUAGGUUUUCUUUAGUUUUCACAAAGUUUUUUCCCUUAUAUUGGCACAAGCAACUAGAAUUUACUUAUGUAAUUCUUAUUUUAUAUUUUUUUUAAACUGAGAUAUUUUACGUAUUAUUUAUUUAUUAUAUAUUUUAUUUGUUUGCUAUUACUACUAUAAUAUUUGCUUCAUUUCACAUUAUAUACGUACAUAUGCAUGCACUUUGUUGGC
rnacentral:lncRNA from 1 species